rnacentral:tRNA from 1 species
GGGGAUAUAGCUCAGCUGGGAGAGCGCUUGAAUGGCAUUCAAGAGGUCACGGGUUCGACCCCCGUUAUCUCCACCA